GCAAAAUGAAGCCAUAAAAAUAUCUACCAACCCUGGGAAGCUCUUGCAUAAAUGACUGGUGUUUAUUGCUAAGAAUCCCUUUAAAUAGAGCUUCAGAAGGCCACAAUCAAUUGCUUCAAAAGACUUUAGCAGAAUAACUAUCAUCAUCAAGAUGCAUGAGGUCAGCAGUUUACAACAACAUUUGACAUGAAGCCUAUUGACUGAAGAGGAGGCUGAUCCCCUUGAAGAAGGGCUAUACAAUACUACAACAUGCAUUUCCAGAAGGCGUUUACCAUUUCAUCACUCAGGGGCUCUAUAGCCAUUUACCAAUACUCUGUACCCUGGGGCUGGGUAUGCUCAGAUCUUGUGAGGAUUACUUUAUAAGAGGGUAAGCCAAUAGUGAUACUAGAGGCUGUAAAAUUCUCUCAUGGCAUCCUUGUUAGAAUUGCUAAAUAUAAAGGCCAUGAAACACAUGGAGUCCUGGUCCAAGUUCAACUCAUAGCAGGUCUAGAGUAGAUCCAACCCACAACCCAUUCUUGGUCAUGUUUUCAGUUCCUGAGUACAGAAUCAUGGCAGCAACAUCAGCAACUAGCAGAAUCAUCAUUUUGGUUCCACAUUUGUGGAGUAAGAGCCACCUUGUUAGAAAAAGCCAAAUGGAAACCUCUGAAAUUGCCUUCCCCUACCUCUCCCUUAUAUUUUGGUUAAUAUGGUAAAUAAGAAGUAGUAAUAGAGUACUCUAUCCCAGGAGGAAUUGCAGGAACUGUAUCAAAGACUAAAAAGAUGCAGGGGUAGUAGUCUUCAUGAUAUCAAAGUUGAAUUGAACUAUAUAGCCUUUAUGAAAAACCUGGUUGAUGAAUCAUGGUAGAUGCAGGUGAACUUCAAAAUGAAACUGUACUAGUUUGUAUUGGUCAUUAUUAUUUUUAUUAUUACAAUUAUCCUGGAAGUCAAUGGAAGAAACUGUUUCCAUGAAGAGGAAGUGAUCAUCUAUGUAACUUGCUGUUGAGAUAUCAACUAAAAUCAGGACUAAGACUUGACUGUUGGAUUUAGCAGCAUUGUUGACCUUGACAAGAGCUAUUUAGGUAAAAUAGUGGUGGCAAAAGCUUGAUUGGGUAGAGUUAAAGACAAAAUGGAAGAGAAUAAUUGUAUAUAGAAUAUAUAAGCAACUCUUUUAAAAAAUGUUUCUGUUAAGUAAAAGAGAAGCAGUAGCUAAAGGGGAUUAGAGUUCAAGAGGAAUUUAUUUAUUUUUCCAUGGGAGAAACUAGAGCAUUUUAAAAAUGUAGAUGGGACAUAUUCAAACAAGAGGAAGUAUUUAUGUGGACUAGGGAAGAAUUGCUAUAGCAAUUUCCUUGAGUAGGUAAAAAGGGUUGGAAACCAGUGUACAAUUUUAAAAAAUUGCUUUUAAAUAGAUGAGGCAGUAUAUACAUAAAUGAAAUCAGUAGUGAGUGUUCCCUUCAGAUAACUGUAGUUGGAUUAGUAGCAGGCAAAUAUGGCUUCAGAGAAUACUAUGCUCAGGGGAUGAAAAGUAUUUAGGAUAUCUCAAAUAUCUUAUCAUUUAUUAUGUUCAUUUUUUGAAAGUUGAAGGUGUAGUGCUGUAAUUUUGUCUACUAUCAGCCCUGAUGAUUGGCUUAGC
rnacentral:lncRNA from 1 species